GACGAAGGAUGCAAGCGUUAUCCGGAUUCAUUGGGUUUAAAGGGAGCGUAGGCGGACUUGUAAGUCAGUGGUGAAAUCUCUUCGCUUAACGAAGAAACUGCCAUUGAUACUGCAGGUCUUGAGUACAGAUGAUGUGGGCGGAAUAUGACAUGUAGUGGUGAAAUACUUAGAUAUGUCAUAGAACACCGAUUGCGAAGGCAGCUCACAAAACUGUAACUGACGCUGAGGCUCGAAAGUGCGGGGAUCAAACAGG
rnacentral:rRNA from 1 species